AAAUUUUUUAGUUUAUUAGCAAAUAAUAUAAUUUUUUCUGAAUAGAUCUGUACAAACAUCUUUAUACAGAAAUAUUUUUAAGCAGAUUAAGUUCAAAACUCAAAAAUAUAAAAUAUUUACAUAUUUUUGUAGCACUGUAUACAAGAUUUUCAAAGAAGGAAAGUUGUUAAAAGGGAGACAACUGGAGAACAGUGCAGCAGUAAAAAUAUCUGGAGACAUAACGUCAAAACUUCUGUAUUAAAAAUUCAUAGGCCAUUCAGUUGUAGAUACUUGAAAGAAAAUAAUUCAAUCAAAAUUAAAUUUUUUUUUCCUGGAAAUGGCUAAUAAGUGAUCUUAUAGUACAAUUUAUGUGUAGUUUUUCAUUUUUAAAUUUUUUAAAAAUUUAGGACCUAAUGGGUUGAUUUCCUUAUAGAAUAUCUUGGGAGUCCUUGUAAAGGAAGAGUGAAGGAUAGGAAAUCUUAGCUAUGUAUAAAGAUGAAAGAUGUGAUUACUUAGGAAAGAGGACUUAAAAAAAUGUUUAAGAUUCUUUUUCUAAGUGUCUAUAGAAAUUCUCCAGUGGACCUUCAUGUGCUAAUUUUUCUACCCUAACAGAAUUCUAGCUACUUUGUCCUUUAGUUAAAAACAAAACAAAACAAAAACAAAAACACAAGUUGUAAUAUGAAGAAAUAUUAGUGGUUUAAACUCACAAAUGAAUGAGAUAUUCUUAAUUUCAUGGUCCACUCUACAUUUGAGUCUUGAUUUAAAUAUUAAACUGAAGGAAUAAACAGUCUGAAACAAUAAUUCUACUAAAAGGGCUAAGAUACUGAUUGCAUUGGUGAUAAGCAUAGUUUGGAAGAAAAUGUCGCUUUUAUUGUAAUUGCAGUGUUAUAUACUUUUAGGCUUUCUUCUAUAGAAUGAACUGUGGAACUGAGCCGCCCACUGUUUACAUUUUUUCAUCUGUUUACUUCUCAAAUCUUAAAGCUUUGUCUAUGGUGUCCUAGAGUUUGAUGGACUAGGUGGAGGUGGUUUUGUUUUUUGAUUUUCUUAGCUUGGAUGUUGUCUCAAUUCUGUUUACUUUCCGGAGGCUGUAUUGCUAUCAUAUGACUUUUGAUUUCUGUCCUUGUUUCAACAGCUUUUUUUUUCUUUUUUGUGCUGAGUAUCUUUGCUUAUAAGCACACCCCUGAUCUCAUCUCCACUUAAGUAAUAGCUGGUGGAUAUCUAAAAAUAUGUAAAACUAAACACCCCUUUUGCACCAAUAACAUUAAAAUGCCUUCCCCAUUUUUUAUUACGUCUGACCUAACUAAGGUACUUUUCUCUCAGCUGUUUCCAGUCUUUUUGAAUCACUACUGCCAUUGCAGCUCUUAGAACAUGGAAGAAUCCUUCUGGGUCAGCAUUGUUCCAUUAAAGUGUUUGUCUGAUUUUUACCAAGCUGUCACCUCCUUUAGUUCACAGCUCAAUUGUCAUCUCAAAUUAGUAUCCUGGGUCCAUCAUUUUUAAACCCCUUACCUUGCUUUUUUACCCCUAGCAUUUCACCACUCUUAUGUAUUCUACUAGACCUUAUGUAUUUUGAUCAUUUGCCAUUGACUACCUCCCCAGUAGAAUGUAAGUUCCAUUAGAGCAGGGACUUUAUUUUGUUAACUCCCUGCUUUAUCCCCAAUACCUAAAAUUGGAUUUUUUUUCAUUAUUGUGGUGUUUUUCUCAGAAAUGCCUAUGUCCUAUAAAUGCCAAUGUUGCCUGUCUUUUAUCUUGCUAUUGUUAACUUGAUCCAUUGGUAUUAUUAGUAAGUUGCAUGCCUUAUCAGUAUCUUCUGAAUACUUAAGUCUUUUUACUGCCUUCCAGUUUUUAAAUUUUGCUGAUAAAAAUCACCUGGGGUGCUUGAAACAUAUAGAAAUGCUUAAGUCAUUUCUAGAAAUUAAAAUUGGCAGCAGGCAGGGAGAGACUCCAAUUAAUUUUUUUUUUUUUCAUUUUGCAAAACAGGGAAUUGAACCCACAAAUUUCUUCCAUUGAGUUACAUCCCCAGCUCUUUCCCUUUUUUAUUUUGAGACAGGAACUCACCAAGUUGCCCAGGCUGACAUUGAACUUGGGAUCAACCUGCCUUAAUUCUGGAAUAGCCUGGGUUACAGGCAUAAGCCACUGAGUCUUACCAAUAGUGUAUUUAUUUUGCUGACUUAAAUAAUCAAUACAGAAAUUAACUUCAUUGUUACAAAGAAUAUACUUACAUAUAAACGAAGGAUUGGUUUCAAUAACUUAUGGCUAUUUAGGAAAUAAUGGUGAUGUUAUAGACAUAAUAGGAAAAUAUAAAACAAUUUGAUUUGUCUAUCCCUUUACCCUUUGAAAAGAAAUUUAUUUUUAAAUGGCUUGAUACAUUAUCUUUUCCUACUCACACCUAAAGAACCCAUCUUGUAAAGACCCUAAUACAAUAGAAACAUGUUGCAUUUCCAAUGUUUUUAAAAGUAAAAUUUAAAAAUUACCAUCUAGCCAGGCAUAGUGGUGCCCACCUGUAAUACUUUGAAGGCUAAAGCAUGAAGAUCACAAGUUAAAAGACUAGCCUCAGCAAUAUGGCAUGACCCUCAGUAACUUAGGGAGACCCUGUCUCAAAAAUAAAUAUUACUGGGGAUGUAGCUCAGUCAGUGAUAGAGUGCCCCUGGGUUCAAUCUCAAGUAGCAAAAAUAACCAAAAUAAAUCCUCUUGCUUGCUGUAUUUUUCACAUUAAAAAAAAUCAGAUCAAGUUUACAUAAGUUAAAUUCAUCCUUUCUAAGCAUAUAGUGUGAUUGGCUUUCACAGAUUAUACAGUUGUGUAACAUUGUAUUUAUGGUACAAAAUGUUUCCAUCACUACUAAUGAAUUCUGUUUCUCCUCUAACCAGCCCCUGAAAACACUGAUAUUUUCAUAUAGAUACUACUUUAUCCAUAAUGUCAUUUAAUAUAUUGUCUUUUGAGUCUGCCUUUUACUUAACCUAAUGCUCUUGUUCAUCCACGUUUUUGCAUUUAACAGUAGUUCAUUCUCUUACUGCUGAAAAUAUACCUUGUAUUGGGUAUGUUACAAUUUGUUUAUCCACUCAGCAGCUGGAUGAAAAAGUUGGAUUUUCAGUCUUGGCUAUUAUGAAAAUGGUAGAAACAUUCAUGUACAAUUCUCUAGGUAAACAUGUAUUCUGAUUUUUCUUGGGUAAAUUUCUUGAAAUAGUAUUUUCAGGUUAUGUGUUUUACUUUAUUAAAAAAAGAAAAAACUGCUGACUUUCCCAAGUUGAACGUACCAUUUUACAUUCCUCCCUCUUAUAUAUGAGAAUUCUUAAUUACUCUAUGUGUGAGAUUUUCUGUUGUCAGUUUUUAAAAAACCUUUAAAACCUUAGCCAUUCUAAUAGUAACUCACUGUGGUUUUAAUUUUCCCUAAUAACUAACGAUGUUGAACAUCUUUUAAUGUGUUUAUUUGCCAUCCUUUUCACUGGUAUGUUCAAAUUUUUUCCAAUUUUAUGAAAUAUAAUUAUUGAUACAACUCAUUAGUAAACUUUGCAAAUAUUUUCUUCUAG
rnacentral:lncRNA from 1 species